UACUUUCCUAGUCUACUGUAGCCAUAGA
rnacentral:sRNA from 1 species